UACGGGGGGGGCAAGUGUUAUUCGGUCCAACUGGGCGUAAAGCGUCUUUAGGCGGAUAAUUGUGAGUUAUAUUCAAAAUAACAAAGGGUAACCUUGUAUUAUUUUAUAAGACCAGUUUUCUCGAGUUUUGUAGGGGUAUAUGUUAUUUCUUCAGUAAGGUUAAAAUUUUUAGACAGAAGAAGGAGCUUCAAGGGUGAAGACAAUAUACUAGGCAAGACUGACGCUAAAGGACUAAAGCAUAGGUAGCGAUCGGG
rnacentral:rRNA from 1 species